GCGGGCGUGGCGGAACUGGUAGACGCAUGGGACUUAAAAUCCCAAGUCCUUAACGGACGUAAGGGUUCAACUCCCUUUGCCCGCACCA
rnacentral:tRNA from 1 species